rnacentral:misc_RNA from 1 species
GAAUAUAAGGGACUCUGGCGAGAUACUGAGCAUGGACAUUGACCGACUGAUGCUGUCACAGGAGAACAGGUUUGAUUUUGUCAAUGAGGUGGCUGCAGAGGCCACAGCUUACCUCGAGAACAACAGGGAUGAAUACGGGGCGAAGAAGCCGAUACUGCAUGUGAUAAGUAACCGCAUGAAUGAAGCUGGAUUCUAUCGACCGGAGGCUUAC